CCAGUCCUUGACAGGUCAGCGCUCUCAGAGUAAGAAGUUCGCCUAUAGAACACAAAGAGGAUUUCGUUAUAUCCUUCUUUAUUCCUCUUUUCUCAAUCUCUCUUUUCUCUGUCUCACUCUCUCUCUCUUUCUCCAUCAUCUCAUUGUCUGUCUGGAUCAACUCCUCUCUCACACACACACACUUCCCCUUCUCUCUCUCACACACACACGUCCCCUUCUCUUUCACGGACACAAUCUCCUGGCCACACAGUGCCAGCCCCUUCUGACCCGUCUGGCUAACGGAGUGAGAUAGCAUCUUUUUUCGGCUCGACUUGGUGGAAGAGGCUUUAGAAACGGCAACUUCUCAUCUUCUGGAAGGUUCUUAAUCUCACCGAACACACAGGGUGUCAAUUACCAAACCCUCUUCUUUUAACACCGGGGAGCCUUCAAAAGGCUCAGUCACAGUCAGACGUAUUAUCAUAUCAGAGCUAUAUUGCUUAACAUAAUGCCCCCUUGAGAAGAAUGUUACUUUGGUCGUAAAUCAAUUAAGAGACUACUGUCAGCGAAGUCGGCGGGCAGUUAUUACAUUGAGUGUGAGGCACAUGGCUUUGCCAUAGCUUUGGUGACGGUAACGUCUCUGACAGGGAAAAUUACACCUUUGAGACAGCCAUUUGUCACUGGUUUCCUUCUGGGGCACUUAAAGAUGCCACAUUGGGAAGAGAGAUAUAAAAUGGUGGAGAUUGAGCUGUGUUUUCAUCCGAGGAGAACCCCUGUGUCAGCUCUCUACACCCCCGCCCUGUUGAGGCCAUGCGACAAAGCAGUCAUAACCCACCCUGACAUGCACACACAAACACACAGACACACACACACACACACACACACACACACACACAGAUUUACUGCAUCUUUGGCUGCUCUUUUCUAAAGAUUCAUUUCGCUGCAAAACACCAAACCCCAGCAGUUGAAAAGGCCACUCAUUUACAGUAAGCCCCUCCGCAACCAACCCACAGAGGAAGCAUAGAGACAGAUACAGAGUGUGUGAGAGACAAGAGAGAGAGGGAGAGACAGAAAGAGGGAGAGAAAAGAGAGAGAGAGGAGGAAGAUAGAGUGAGUAAUGGUGCAAAAAAAAAUAGCCAGAGGAAGGAUGUGACAGAUAGAGAGAUGGGUCGAGGAGGCACGGAGUGAAAGGUUGUGAGGAAUGAGAGCAUGUGUGAAGUUGGGGAGGAAAAAUGGUGCUGGAGCAGCGGUGAAAGGUGGUGGAGCACCGGUGAAAGGUGGGAAAUCGAUAAGAGCCGGAGUGAAGACAGAAGAGGAGGAAAAGGCAGAAACAUGAGAAGGACGAAGAGAGGAGAAAGCAGGAGAGUCAGGAGGCAGGAACAGGAGGCAGGAACAGACCCAAACACGUCAGCCAAGCAGGAGAGACACAGACAAAUGGGCAGCCUGAUAGACAUCAAGAUACAUAGAUAGAUAGAUAGAUAAUCAUCAAAAUACAUAGAUAGAUAGAUAGAUAGAUAGAUAGAUAGAUAGAUAGAUACAUAAAUAGAUAGAUAGAUAGAUAGAUAGGUAGAUAGAUAGAUAGAUAGAUAGAUAGAUAGAUAGAUAGAUAGAUAGACAGACAGACAGACAGACAGACAGAGAGACACAGACAAAUGGGCAGCCUGAUAGACAUCAAGAUACAUAGAUAGAUAAUCAUCAAAAUACAUAGAUAGAUAGAUAGAUAGAUAGAUAGAUAGAUAUAUACAUAAAUAGAUAGAUAGAUAGAUAGAUAGAUAGAUAGAUAGAUAGAUAGAUAGAUAGACAUCAAGAUACAUAGAUAGAUGGAUAGAUAGAUAGAUAGAUAGAUAAAUAGAUAGAUAGAUAGAUAAAUAAAUAGAUAGAUAGAUAGAUAGAUAGGUAGAUAGAUAGACAGACAGAUAGAUAGAUAGGGAAAUGAGUGAGUGACAUAUACAUAGAUAGAUAGAUAGACAGACAGACAGAUAGAUAGAUAGAUAGACAGAUAAAUAGAUACAUAGAUAGAUAGAUAGAUACAUAGACAGAUAUAUAGAUAGACAGAAAGACAGACAGACAGACAGACAGAUAGAUAGAUAGACAGAAAGACAGACAGAUAGACAGAUAGAUAGACAGACAGAUAGAUAGAUAGAUAGAUAGACAGACAGACAGACAGACAGACAGACAGACAGACAGACAGACAGACAGACAGACAGAUAGAUAGACAGAUACAAAUAUACAUAGAUAGAUAUAUAUAUACAUAGACAGAUAGACAGAUAGAUAGAUAGACAGAUACAAAUAUACAUAGAUAGAUAUAUAUAUACAUAGACAGAUAGACAGAUAGAUAGAUAGACAGACAGAUAGAUAGAUAGGGAAAUGAGUGAGUGACUGCUCCAGCAUGGUGGUUGGCCUGGCGCAAGCGUCUCAUUACGGGGCUCCCAGCAGCAGCUCUGUGUCAGUGUGUGUGUGUGUGUGUGUGUGUGCCAGUGUGUGUGUGUGUGUGUGUGUCAGUGUGUGUGUGUGUGUGUGUGUGUGUGUGUGUGUGUGUGUGUGUCAGUGUGUGUGUGUGUCAGUGUGUGUGUGUGUGUGUGUGUGUGUGUGUGUGUCUGUGUCAGUGUGCCACGGCUGACUCCGCAGCCUCGCGCCCCACGCUGUGCCAUGACUGCUUGAGCCAAUUAGGAACCCUUGGCACAGCUCAUCCUCUCCCCACGUCCACCCAGUGCGGGCUGGCAUGGAGACGUGCUGGGCGUCUCUGAUCGGAAUUUUAAAAGGAUUCGUUUCAGCUCACCGCUGCCACCAUCCUGCCACAAAACCCCCACGCCCCAACACACACACACACACACACACAUCACAUGCUGUGCUUAUGGAACCAUGUGUGUUCAAAUCUAUCUUAGGAGCAUGCUGAAUACAAUGCAUUGAUCUCUCACUUUCUACAGUGCUGUGUUUGUGCCAAGAAAACUGCAGGAUGUGAGUUGAAGACAUGAGAGGAGAGAAGAUGAGAGAAAGGCAGUGAGAGGAGAGGAGAGGAGAGGAGAGGAGAGGAGUGGAGAGGGGAGGGGAGGGGAGGAGAGGAGAGGAGAGGGGAGG
ensembl:lncRNA